GGUGAACGCUGGCGGCGUGCCUAAUACAUGCAAGUCGAGCGAACGGACGAGAAGCUUGCUUCUCUGAUGUUAGCGGCGGACGGGUGAGUAACACGUGGAUAACCUACCUAUAAGACUGGGAUAACUUCGGGAAACCGGAGCUAAUACCGGAUAAUAUUUUGAACCGCAUGAUUCAAAAGUGAAAGACGGUCUUGCUGUCACUUAUAGAUGGAUCCGCGCUGCAUUAGCUAGUUGGUAAGGUAACGGCUUACCAAGGCAACGAUGCAUAGCCGACCUGAGAGGGUGAUCGGCCACACUGGAACUGAGACACGGUCCAGACUCCUACGGGAGGCAGCAGUAGGGAAUCUUCCGCAAUGGGCGAAAGCCUGACGGAGCAACGCCGCUUGAGUGAUGAAGGUCUUCGGAUCGUAAAACUCUGUUAUUAGGGAAGAACAUAUGUGUAAGUAACUGUGCACAUCUUGACGGUACCUAAUCAGAAAGCCACGGCUAACUACGUG
rnacentral:rRNA from 1 species